rnacentral:rRNA from 1 species
GACGAACGCUGGCGGCGUGCUUAACACAUGCAAGUCGAACGGAAAGGCCCUGCUUUUGUGGGGUGCUCGAGUGGCGAACGGGUGAGUAACACGUGAGUAACCUGCCCUUGACUUUGGGAUAACUUCAGGAAACUGGGGCUAAUACCGGAUAGGAGCUCCUGCUGCAUGGUGGGGGUUGGAAAGUUUCGGCGGUUGGGGAUGGACUCGCGGCUUAUCAGCUUGUUGGUGGGGUAGUGGCUUACCAAGGCUUUGACGGGUAGCCGGCCUGAGAGGGUGACCGGCGACAUUGGGACUGAGAGACGGCGCAGACUCCUACGGGAGGCAGAAGUGGGGAGUAUGGCACAGUGGGCGGAAGUCUGAUGCAGCAACGCCGCGUUCGGGAUGACGGCCUGCGGGUUGUAAACGGCUGUCGCCUGUUACGAAGCGUGAGUGACGGUAAUGGGAAAAUAAGCACCGGCUAACUACGUG